GCCGGAGUGGUGGAAUUGGUAGACACGUACGGUUCAGAAUCGUAUGCCUUAACAGCGUAAGGGUUCGAAUCCCUUCUCCGGCAC
rnacentral:tRNA from 1 species